CCUGGGUUUGGUGAUGAGUUUUUAGAUACAAAACUGAAAACAUAAUCCCUAAAAUUAAAAAAAAAUUGAUUAAAAAAAUCGACAGAUUGGGCUUGGUGGCUCAACCUGUUUCUUUUGGGCUCAAAGGAUCUGCCAGCCUCAGGCUCCCAAAGUGUAAUCCCAGCACUUUGGGAGCCUGAGGCAGGCAGAUUCCUUGAGUCCAAGGGUUUGAGAUGAGCCUGGGCAACAUAGGAAGACCCUGUCUGUAUUUAAAAACAAACAAACAAACAAACUCAAGAAGAACAUAAAAAAUGAAGAAAGCAUCUGACCAGACACCUCACCAAAGAUCCGCUGCUGGCAAGUAAGCAGACAGAACGAGGCUCUGGGAACAGGGAAUUGCAAAUGAACACACCUACGAGACACCAGCACCACUUUUUAAGUGACUGAAAUCCAGAACACUGACAAUAUCAGUUUCUGGCUGGGAUGCAGAGCGACGGGCACUCCCCGUCAUUGCCGGUGAGGGUGCAAAAUGGUGCGGCUGCCGUGGAAGACAGGUGUGAAGUUUCUUACACAGCUACACAGAGGCUUCUUGGCAGCUCCGGCAAUUGUGUUCCGUGGCAUUUAAACAGAGGGGUUGAAGGCUGAUGUCCACAUAAGAACCUGAACGUGGACGUUUACCGUAGCUUCAUUCAUAAUUGCCAAUGCUUGGAAGCAACAAGAUGUCUUUUGAUAGGUGAGUGGUUAAACAAAUAGUGCUGCAUGAAGAUGGUGGAAUAUUGUUCAGGGAUAAAAAGAGAUAAGGUAACAAGCCAUGAGAAGACAUGAGAUGGAGUCUCACUGUGUCACCCAGGCUAGAGUGAGGUGGCGUGAUCUUGGCCCACUGCAACUUCCGCCUCCCAGGUUCAAGCGAUUCUCCUGCCUCAGCCUCCCAAGUAGCUAGCUGGGAUUACAGGUGCCCGACAGGCUGCAGGGACAGUCCUUAUCCUCAACCUCCCAGCUGGAAGGUUUUUUGCAGAUCUGGCUGCUCCAGUGGUCACCGGUACCCACCCUCAGAGCCCUUUGUUGAGGGCUGGGCAGGGCGGGUGGACGGGGAGGAGAAGGAAGGAAUGAGCACCAUGGGGGCAUGAGAGUUUAUUGUCUCCAAGAGGGUGAAGGUCGUGGUCCCAAUGCACAGGUGGGGGCACCCACAGUGUUAUCCUUCCUGGGUUUCCCUUGGGCAGAGGGGGCUGGAAAUGGGAAGGCAGAGUGGGAGCCCCAGCUGUGGCCGCACCCAGGUUCUUCUGCCCCUCGAAGGGUCCUGGACAGCAUUCAGGGCAAGGGGCCUCAUGCAAGGGGCCAUCGCCCACCAGAGACACUGUCUUUCCCACCACCAACACCAGAGGCACCGUCCUUCCCCAUCACCCAACACCGGAGGCACCAUUCUUCCCGUCACCCACACCGGAGGUACCGUCCUUCCCAUCACCCACACCGGAGGCACCGUCGCACCGUCCUUCCCAUCACCCACACCAGAG
rnacentral:lncRNA from 10 species